rnacentral:rRNA from 1 species
GCAUUUGCCAAGGAUGUUUUCAUUAAUCAAGAACGAAAGUUAGAGGUUGAAGGCGAUCAGAUACCGCCCUAGUUCUAACCCUAAACGAUGCUAACCAGCAAUCCGUUGGGGUUAUUCCCAUGGCCUGACGGGCAGCUUCCGGGAAACCAAAGUCUUUGAGUUUCGGGGGGAGUAUGGUUGCAAAGCUGAAACUUAAAGGAAUUGACGGAAGGGCACCACCAGGAGUGGAGCCUGUGGCUUAAUUUGACUCAACACGGGGAACCUUACCAGGCCCAGACACUAGAAGGAUUGACAGAUUAAAAGUUCUUUCUUGAUUCAGUGGGUGGUGGUGCAUGGCCGUUCUUAGUUGGUGGAGUGAUUUGUCUGGUUAAUUCCGAUAACGAACGAGACUCUGGCCUAUUAACUAGUCGACGGAUACAUUGUUGUCCAGUUCGCAACUUCUUCUUAGAGGGAUAAGCGGUAUGUCCUAGCCGCAUGAGAUUGAGCAAUAACAGGUCUGUGAUGCCCUUAGAUGUUCUGGGCUGCACGCGCGCUACACUGAAGGGAUCAAUGAGUUUUCCUUCUCCGAGAGGAGAGGGUAACCAGAUGAACCCCCUUCGUGAUAGGGAUUGGGGCUUGCAAUUUUUUCCCAUGAACGAGGAAUUCCCAGUAAGCGCAAGUUAUCAUCUUGUGUUGAUUACGUCCCUGCCCUUGUACACACCGCCCGUCGCUACUACCGAUUGGAUGAUUUAGUGAGGACCUUGGACUGCAGUCUCUUGGCAGACAGAAAAUUGUCCGAACKUGAUUAUC